GAUGAACGCUAGCUACAGGCUUAACACAUGCAAGUCGAGGGGCAGCACAGUGUAGCAAUACACGGGUGGCGACCGGCGCACGGGUGCGUAACACGUAUCCAAUCUGCCCGUUACUCGAGGAUAGCCUUCUGAAAGGAAGAUUAAUACCCGAUAGCAUUCAUUUGCGGCAUCGCUUAUGAAUUAAAGAUUUAUCGGUAACGGAUGAGGAUGCGUACGAUUAGCUUGUUGGCGGGGUAACGGCCCACCAAGGCGACGAUCGUUAGGGGUUCUGAGAGGAAGGUCCCCCACACUGGAACUGAGACACGGUCCAGACUCCUACGGGUGGCAGCAGUGAGGAAUAUUGGUCAAUGGUCGAGAGACUGAACCAGCCAAGUAGCGUGAAGGAUGACUGCCCUAUGGGUUGUAAACUUCUUUUGUUUGGGAAUAAAGUCAGGUACGUGUACCUGUUUGUAUGUACCAUUCGAAUAAGCAUCGGCUAAUUCCGUGCCAGCCGCCGCCGUAACAC
rnacentral:rRNA from 1 species